AAACUUAAUAAAUAUUGGAGCAAGUGUUCAGCCGUUUUGGUCGGCUUCCUCACAAGGGCGCUUUGGAGACGACACCACGUGCAACCUCUUGUAUAUAAACUUUGAAACAAAAGAUGGAACAUGACAACACACGACUUUGAUCAAAGAUCCGGUGCAAUCGCCAAAGCUGUCGAGUCGAUUGUCGGAUCCUAGAGCGCACGGGGUGGCUUACUGCCUACUAGUCGUGUGACCCCCGGGAGGCGGUGGCAUAGGUUCGCCGUAGCCGUGCUUCGUAAAGUUGUGCACCGCAGCAAACUGAACCAUCGUCGCCAGGACGAAGACGAACGCCAUAGCGAUGU